rnacentral:rRNA from 1 species
UACGAAGGGGGCUAGCGUUGCUCGGAAUUACUGGGCGUAAAGGGCGCGUAGGCGGACAGUUUAGUCAGAGGUGAAAGCCCAGGGCUCAACCUUGGAAUUGCCUUUGAUACUGGCUGUCUUGAGUUCGGGAGAGGUGAGUGGAAUGCCGAGUGUAGAGGUGAAAUUCGUAGAUAUUCGCAAGAACACCAGUGGCGAAGGCGGCUCACUGGCCCGAUACUGACGCUGAUGCACGAAAGCGUGGGGAGCAAACAGG